CGUGCCGGAACUGAAACUGAAAAUCGAUCCUCUUCUUCUCUGUAACACUUCAAUUCAAUGAGCAAUCAAUCAUUCGACGAAUCGAACAUUCUAGAAACCAAACUACAAGAUAAGAUAACCCAGAAAGAAAUAUCAAAACGAGUUCCAGAUUUUGACCAAAACCAAGUUGCUGAUGAGGAGUUACAUAAGCUCCUUCUACCUGACGUCCGCGACCUUCCUCUAAUUCCACCCUCUUCAAUUGAGACCAACUUCGUCUCCUAUUUUGCUCCAGAUUUUAUAAAGCCAGGACACGACCAGUACGUUUAUCGCCAUGCCAAUGGGUAUAUGUUCUGAGCUUUUUUUUCGUUGUUUAAAGUGUUGGGUUUUGAUUAGUGUUGAAUAAAAUGUUGCCAUUUUCAUGAUCGGAAGUUUGUGUGUGAUCGGCUUGGCUCCUACCCAUGUGGCUUUUAAGGAUGGAGGAGGAAUCACGGCCGUUGAUUUCAAUGUUGGCAAGUCUGAUCGGAGUGGCAUUAAGGUCACUGGAAAGCGCAAAAAGAAUGCACAACACUUUGAGUCAAACACGGCUUUGUGUAAAGUUUGCACGCAGGAUGCUUUCUAUAUUGUCAGGUGUUGUGUUAAAGGCUCAUUGUUGGAAGUAAAUGAUAAGCUAAUCAAACAGCCGGAAUUACUUAAUUCUUCGGCAGAUAGAGAAGGAUACAUUGCUAUUAUCAUGCCAAAGCCAGCAGAUUGGCUGAAGGUCAAGGCUUCGUUACUGAGCCUUGAAGAAUACAAGAAAAUGAGAGAAGGUAGGUGAGUAUUGGGAAACUUGGAUCAAUUUCUGGCAUUGGAUUAAAACAAAAAAAAAAAGUCAUGCUGCCUUGCCUAGGUGCAUUCGCAGGGAAUCUCGCCCAUCAUCAGUAAUUACAGUGCCCUCCCAACAUGGCUUUUCUCUAGAUCUCAGUGGGGGAGGAUGAAUUGUAAUGCUAUCCCAUUUUUUGUGUUGUGUUAAAUUAUUUUAUCAAAUUUUCCCAUUAAUAGAAUAAGGACAAUAAUUAAGUAAUUGGAUUAUGUUUCUUUGCAUAUUUGAGAACAAAAAUUAGAGUUAUUCAGACUACAGUUUAUACGCAAGUAGCAUAAGCCACAAGGUCCUCUAAUUGUGCUUAAUGCAGAUUGUACACAGUAUUCAGAUGUUUCUUGAAUUUCUUAUCUUAAAAAAUUAUAGUAAAAACAGAGCUGAUAUUUAAUGUACACAUGGAAUUCUG
rnacentral:misc_RNA from 1 species